GGGCGCGCUGCUCCAGCGGGGUCGGCUUCCGGGACGCCGCCAGCGCGGAGGCGCGGCGGGUGCGGGCCUCCUUCCAGCGCCGCCCGGAGACGCGCCCGGCGAUGACGCCGUCGUAGGUGGGCUGCCCGAAGGAGGCGGGCUUGGAGGGGUCGGACAGGGAGGGCACCGCGCGGAGCUUGGACGGCCUCGGCGCGUCGGCGUCGGCGUCGAGGUCCAUGGAGUCGGCGGCGGCCGCCUCCUCCGCCUCGCGGCGCUUGCGCUUCCCGCGCUCGCCGCCGAGGCCCUCGUCGAGGUAGCGGAAGUCGAGGUGGGACGCCAUGGGGGGGAUGGGAGAAUCGGGAAGCUAGGGUCGCCGCCGCCUCGGGUCGGGGAGGAAGAGAGGUUG
rnacentral:lncRNA from 1 species